UACAGAGGUCCCAAGCGUUGUUCGGAUUCAUUGGGCGUAAAGGGUGCGUAGGCGGCGCGGUAAGUCGGGUGUGAAAUCUCGGGGCUUAACUGGGAAACUGCAUCGGAAACUGAUCGGCUUGAAGGUGGGAGAGGGUAGUGGAAUUCCCGGUGUAGUGGUGAAAUGCGUAGAUAUCGGGAGGAACACCAGUGGCGAAGGCGACUACCUGGCCCAUUCUUGACGCUGAGGCGCGAAAGCUAGGGGAGCGAACGGG
rnacentral:rRNA from 1 species